CUGCGUUUCGGCGCAGCCAACCGUCGUGGGGCUGUCUUUUCACUUUUCCUUCCGGUGUGCUUCUUGUGCCCGGGAGGAACACUAGUUAUCGGUGUCUGUUUGGUUCUACCCUCGUGGGGAAUAGCAUUGUGUUUAAUGACGGAUUUUUCUUGUCCCACUGAUAUUUAUUAUCUUUCGGUGCAAGCUGAUAUGUUAGCUAGGUGAGAACUUGUGCAGCAGUGGGCAAAUGCCCCGGGACUGCACUUGGAUUUCGCCAACUCUCACGGAUGCCGUGCCUAAUGAGGAUUCUGCGGGCCUCUUGUCCCCUGAUUCCCUCGGGAGUUCCCUUGUAUACUGGAUCAUUGCUCCGCCGCUCCGCUAUCUUGUUGCGUUGUUGGGAUGUCGGAGCGGUGCGUGCGGAGCACGCUCCGUUGCAUGCGAGAUGUUUAUCCGAUUGGACGAGCGACUGUCCGUUCCCGUCGUGUGAUCGGACUCCCAUUUAGGGUGUGCCGGAGCGACGUGUCGGCUCUCGUUUCAGACGUGCUACCUGGUUGAUCCUGC
rnacentral:misc_RNA from 1 species